rnacentral:rRNA from 1 species
GAACUAAGCAUAUCAAUAAGCGGAGGAAAAGAAACUAACAAGGAUUCCCCUAGUAACUGCGAGUGAAGCGGGAAAAGCUCAAAUUUAAAAUCUGGCAGUCUCUGGCUGUCCGAGUUGUAAUCUAGAGAAGUAAUGCCCGUGCUGGACCGUGUAUAAGUCUCCUGGGAUGGGGCGUCAUAGAGGGUGAGAAUCCCGUCUUUGACACGGACUACCAGUGCAUUGUGGUAUGCUCUCAAAGAGUCGAGUUGUUUGGGAAUGCAGCUCAAAAUGGGUGGUAAAUUCCAUCUAAAGCUAAAUAUUGGCGAGAGACCGAUAGCGAACAAGUACCGUGAGGGAAAGAUGAAAAGAACUUUGGAAAGAGAGUUAAACAGUACGUGAAAUUGCUGAAAGGGAAACGCUUGAAGUCAGUCGCGUUGGCCGGGAAUCAGCCUUGCUUUUGCAUGGUGUACUUUCUGGUUGACGGGUCAGCAUCAAUUUUGACCGCUGGAAAAAGACCUGGGGAAUGUGGCAGCUUCGGCUGUGUUAUAGCCCCUAGUCGCAUACAGUGGUUGGGAUUGAGGAACUCAGCACGCCGCAAGGCCGGGUUUCGACCACGUUCGUGCUUAGGAUGCUGGCAUAAUGGCUUUAAGCGACCCGUCUUGAAACACGGACCAAGGAGUCUAACAUGCCUGCGAGUAUUUGGGUGGAAAACUCAAGUGCGUAAUGAAAGUGAAAGUUGAGAUCCCUGUCGUGGGGAGCAUCGACGCCCGGACCAGAACUUUUGGGACGGAUCCGCGGUGGAGCAUGUAUGUUGGGACCCGAAAGAUGGUGAACUAUGCCUGAAUAGGGUGAAGCCAGAGGAAACUCUGGUGGAGGCUCGUAGCGAUUCUGACGUGCAAAUCGAUCGUCAAAUUUGGGUAUAGGGGCGAAAGACUAAUCGAACCAUCUAGUAGCUGGUUCCUGCCGAAUUCC